AAAAUACUCCCUCCAUCCGGAAAAAUACUUGUCGGAGAAAUGGAUGUAUCUAGAUGUAUUUUAGCUCUAGAUACACCCAUUCUAUCCAUUUCUACACAAGUAAUUCCGGAUGGAGGGAGUAUAUA
rfam:Triticum aestivum genome assembly, contig: Triticum_aestivum_CS42_TGACv1_scaffold_129622_2BL